rnacentral:ncRNA from 1 species
ACAAAAGUGAUGAUAAGAAUUAGUAGAAUCAGAGUACAUAUUUAGAGAAGAAGUGGUCGGUGAAAACUUCCUAUGUUAUGAUUUGAAGCUGUCUUUGAGCUUUUUUUAAGAGAGGCACUUUAUUUUAGUGUAAUUAGGGUGGUACCGCGGAAUAACAGCUUUCGUCCCUUUA